rnacentral:tRNA from 2 species
GGGCCCGUAGCUCAGUUGGUAGAGCAACUGACUUUUAAUCAGUGGGUCGUGGGUUCGAAUCCCGCCGGGCUCACCA